AGUGAACGCUGGCGGUAGGCCUAACACAUGCAAGUCGAACGGCAGCACAGGAGAGCUUGCUCUCUGGGUGGCGAGUGGCGGACGGGUGAGGAAUACAUCGGAAUCUACUCUGUCGUGGGGGAUAACGUAGGGAAACUUACGCUAAUACCGCAUACGACCUACGGGUGAAAGCAGGGGAUCUUCGGACCUUGCGCGAUUGAAUGAGCCGAUGUCGGAUUAGCUAGUUGGCGGGGUAAAGGCCCAACAAGGCGACGAUCCGUAGCUGGUCUGAGAGGAUGAUCAGCCACACUGGAACUGAGACACGGUCCAGACUCCUACGGGAGGCAGCAGUGGGGAAUAUUGGACAAUGGGCGCAAUCCUGAUCCAGCCAUACCGCGUGGGUGAAGAAGGCCUUCGGGUUGUAAAGCCCUUUUGUUGGGAAAGAAAUCCAGCUGGCUAAUACCCGGUUGGGAUGACGGUACCCAAAGAAUAAGCACCGGCUAACUUCGUGCCAGCCGCCGCCGUAA
rnacentral:rRNA from 1 species